CCGAGAAUAGCUCAGCUGGUAGAGCGGGAGACUGUAGUUUGGUCUGCUAUGGAGGCAUCGAUUGUUAUCUCUAGGUCCCUGGUUCAAAUCCGGGUUCUCGGA